UGAUAUGUUUGGUAUAAGGUUGUUUCAGUAACAAUCAACUGUAUAUCAAACAUAUGGUC
rnacentral:pre_miRNA from 1 species